AGUGAACGCUGGCGGUAGGCCUAACACAUGCAAGUCGAACGGCAGCACAGUAAGAGCUUGCUCUUACGGGUGGCGAGUGGCGGACGGGUGAGGAAUACAUCGGAAUCUACUUUUUCGUGGGGGAUAACGUAGGGAAACUUACGCUAAUACCGCAUACGACCUACGGGUGAAAGCAGGGGAUCUUCGGACCUUGCGCGAUUGAAUGAGCCGAUGUCGGAUUAGCUAGUUGGCGGGGUAAAGGCCCACCAAGGCGACGAUCCGUAGCUGGUCUGAGAGGAUGAUCAGCCACACUGGAACUGAGACACGGUCCAGACUCCUACGGGAGGCGGCAGUGGGGAAUAUUGGACAAUGGGCGCAAGCCUGAUCCAGCCAUACCGCGUGGGUGAAGAAGGCCUUCGGGUUGUAAAGCCCUUUUGUUGGGAAAGAAAAGCAGCAAGUUAAUACCCCGCUGUUCUGACGGUACCCAAAGAAUAAGCACCGGCUAACUUCGUG
rnacentral:rRNA from 1 species